CCAAACAGCUUCAUUUGUUUAGUGUUGCAGUUCACUUCUGUUUCUGAUUAUCUGUCUACUGUUGAAAUUCACACUUCAGAAUAAGGAAGAGCUGUUUCCAUAGUUACGACAGUGCAGCACACUAAUAAGCAUUAGUGUUCAUGAAAAUCAUUGACGAUUUGUUUUCCUUUCACUCUGAAGAUCAAGAUUCAACCUGUGGAAAUCAUCAUUAUGAUGAGCUGCAGUCCAACCUGACCUAUGCUACUGUUAACCUUCCUGAAACCUCUCCGAAGACAAAGGUCAAACGGGACACAGACACUGUGACUUAUUCUACUGUCAGGACUAAAGAGAAGACAGAGGUGGACUGAUGUCAGCGACCUCUGAAGCUACUUCACUGAACCCAAAACACCGAAUCCAAAACACUGAACCCAAAACACCGAAUCCAAAACACUGAACCCAAAACACCGAAUCCAAAACACCGAAUCCAAAACACCGAAUCCAUAACACCGAAUCCAAAACACCGAAUCCAAAAGACCGAAUCCAAAAGACUGAAACCAAAAGACUGAAACCAAAACACCGAGCCUAACUGCAGUAUUUGACCACUACAUCACUGUUUCUAUUAUAAUUAUUAUUAAAAAAAACAAAACUGGUAACAAUAAGGUUACAUUUGUUUUAUAUAAGGUCAGAUUUUAUAUAUAAAUUCAGUAUAACAAACUGACUGCAGCUCUUUAGCAUUAGCAUGCAUCACAGUUCCUCUUUGACUUUUCAUGCAAAGGAUUUUACAGGUUGUGCAAAAGGAGGAAACAAUACUUUAUAAAUUAUAAAAAUAAAAGUUCAUUAAUUGCCUCGUUUAUGUUCUUGACAAUCAGUACCUGUAGCUAAAAGUCGGUUCAUCUUAGUUGAUCUAAAUGUUACAAAGUGAAGCAGUUAAAUGUAAUUUAAAUGUUCAUUUUUGACUAAAGUUUGUAAAGUUCCUUUUCUUUGUGGAACAUACAAGUGUGAGCCAACCACAGGGUGUUGGCAUGAACUUGUUUUCAACCAUAAGUUCAGCCAAAA